UAUUGACAAACAAAGGCACGCGAAUAUC
rnacentral:piRNA from 1 species